rnacentral:rRNA from 1 species
UACGUAGGGGGCAAGCGUUGUCCGGAAUCAUUGGGCGUAAAGAGCGCGUAGGCGGUCCGGUAAGUCCGCUCUGAAAGUCCGGGGCUCAACCCCGGGAGGCGGGCGGAUACUGUCGGGCUAGAGUCCGGAAGAGGCGAGUGGAAUUCCUGGUGUAGCGGUGAAAUGCGCAGAUAUCAGGAGGAACACCGGUGGCGAAGGCGGGUCUCUGGGCCGAUACUGACGCUGAGGAGCGAAAGCGUGGGGAGCGAACAGG